UGACAGUGGUAGACUGAGCUUCAGCGU
rnacentral:sRNA from 1 species